UAAAGUCUAUUUUUUACCACAAUCUGACAUCGGUUACAAUCUGUUAAAUUUGCCGCCAGUGUGUGGCAGUAAUGAGCCACUGAUCUACCAGUGGGGCCGUAGAAGAAGAAAUUAGCCAAUAAGUGCCCUCGGUUUUCAUGACGUAUCACGUUACUGACGCGCAUCUUGCUGUGAGAGAUGGCGGAUCAACAACAAAUACGGAAGAAAAAUAGAAGCGACAAAACAAGAGAAACCCCGGACAAAAACCUCACGAGUAUGGGAGCACUUCACUAGAUGCCUUGAAAAGACCGGUGACCUACAAAAUAUGCAAAAACCAUGGCACGACGGAAGCACGACGUCCCUAAGUGAACAUUUGAGACGAAAACGUGGGGGCUGAUGCAGCAGAGGAAUGUCCGAAAAAAACAAGCAACGAUGGACAACUACAUGGGGAACAAGACACUCACCCCCAGCAAUGCAUACCACUUACAAACUCUAUUCCAGAUUCUACAUUAUUUUUUAUGGAAUUUACCUCUUAUAUUUUGAUGCCAAAAAAUUAUUCUGGACUGAUAUUUUGCACUGUUUAGCUCAUUUUACACUGCUGACUGUGGUCAUGUGCAAUAAAAUAGAUUGCAGUCAACUGCACAA